rnacentral:lncRNA from 1 species
UGGCUGAAAAAGGCAAAAAAUUAAAACUCUAUCGACGGAAGGUCCCUGGGUGCGACGAUUCCCCUGGUCCUCCUUCGCGACUGAAGUUCUCCUUCGGUUAACUUGUACUAGAAAAAGGUUAGUGAACAUGAUGAUCAAAAAAUUACAUGAAAUAGAAAACGAAAAGGAGGUCAUCAUAGAGGGUUUUGGAUUUUGGCUUUGGUAACUCGGUCGAGUUUUGUCAGUAGUUUUUUGGCUUACUUCACUCCAAUAUAGCCAUAGGGAGACUCGGGAUUGAAUUCCGAGCGAAAAGGAGGAAAUUUUACAUUUUUUGGUUGUCGACGUUGGCUCUGGUGCGGCGGCGGCGACGUCCCUCCGGCAGCUGGUCUCCCCUUCAAUAUCCUUCUUCUUUUUCUUCUUUGGCUGGGUGUUGGCUAGGGUUUUGUCUCCCUGCGAAGAGGAGUUUAAAUACUCAUCUCCAUCCGAUCCAGGCCUCUCGUUCGAGUCGACGUGGAGCGAGGAAGACCGUUCGAUAAUUUCCAAUUUAGGCCAAUUGCAUGGAUGACUCUGGGCUGUCCAUCGCAAUCAAUCUCGUUCGGUCGAUCAUGUAUAAAGGGAGAAUGCAUCUGGGCCAUUUGUGCGCGCGAGAUGCUAUAUGAGCCGUCG